rnacentral:rRNA from 1 species
GACGAACCGUGCGAACGUUGUUCGGAAUCACUGGGCUUAAAGGGCGCGUAGGCGGGCUUGUAAGUCCAGGGUGAAAGCCCCCGGCUCAACUGGGGAAGCGCCUUGGAUACUGCGGGCCUCGAGGGGGGUAGGGGCGUGCGGAACUUCCGGUGGAGCGGUGAAAUGCGUUGAUAUCAGAAGGAACGCCAGCGGCGAAGGCGGCGCACUGGACCUCUACUGACGCUGAGGCGCGAAAGCCAGGGGAGCAAACGGG